rnacentral:rRNA from 1 species
CAGAGGGCAGCUACCAUGCAGUCGAGGGGUAACAUAGAAAAGCUUGCUUUUCUGAUGACGACCGGCGCACGGGUGCGUAACGCGUAUACAACCUACCUUUUAGCGGGGAAUAGCCCAGGGAAACUUGGAUUAAUGCCCCAUAGUAUAUAGACUUCUCCUGAAGUUUAUAUUAAACAUUUAUGGCUAUUAGAUGGGUAUGCGUCCUAUUAGUUAGUUGGUAAGGUAACGGCUUACCAAGGCAGCGAUAGGUAGGGGUCCUGAGAGGGAGAUCCCCCACACUGGUACUGAGACACGGACCAGACUCCUACGGGAGGCAGCAGUGAGGAAUAUUGGACAAUGGGCGAGAGCCUGAUCCAGCCAUGCCGCGUGCAGGAAGACUGCCCUAUGGGUUGUAAACUGCUUUUACAGAGGAAGAACCACCCCCCACGUGUGGGGGUUUGACGGUACUCUGCGAAUAAGGAUCGGCUAACUCCGUGCCAGCAGCCGCGGUAAUACGGAGGAUCCAAGCGUUAUCCGGAAUCAUUGGGUUUAAAGGGUCCGUAGGCGGGCAGUUAAGUCAGUGGUGAAAGUCUUCCGCUCAACGGGAGAACUGCCAUUGAUACUGAUUGUCUUGAGUUAUUAUGAAGUGGUUAGAAUGAGUAGUGUAGCGGUGAAAUGCAUAGAUAUUACUCAGAAUACCGAUUGCGAAGGCAGAUCACUAAUAAUAUACUGACGCUGAUGGACGAAAGCGUAGGUAGCGAACAGGAUUAGAUACCCUGGUAGUCUACGCCGUAAACGAUGGUUACUAGCUGUUCGGCCCAAUUGAGGGCUGAGUGGUUAAGCGAAAGUGAUAAGUAACCCACCUGGGGAGUACGUUCGCAAGAAUGAAACUCAAAGGAAUUGACGGGGGCCCGCACAAGCGGUGGAGCAUGUGGUUUAAUUCGAUGAUACGCGAGGAACCUUACCAGGGCUUAAAUGUAGUCUGACAGGUCUGGAAACAGACUUUUCUUCGGACAGAUUACAAGGUGCUGCAUGGUUGUCGUCAGCUCGUGCCGUGAGGUGUCAGGUUAAGUCCUAUAACGAGCGCAACCCCUGUGGUUAGUUGCCAGCGAGUAAUGUCGGGAACUCUAGCCAGACUGCCGGUGCAAACCGCGAGGAAGGUGGGGAUGACGUCAAAUCAUCACGGCCCUUACGUCCUGGGCCACACACGUGCUACAAUGGUAGGGACAGAGAGCAGCCACUUCGCGAGAAGGAGCGAAUCUACAAACCCUAUCACAGUUCGGAUCGCAGUCUGCAACUCGACUGCGUGAAGCUGGAAUCGCUAGUAAUCGCAUAUCAGCCAUGAUGCGGUGAAUACGUUCCCGGGCCUUGUACACACCGCCCGUCAAGCCAUGGAAGCCGGGGGUACCUGAAGUCGGUCACCGCAAGGAGCCGCCUAGGUAACGU